GCUGGAGGUAUCAGAAGUGCGAAUGCUGACAUAAGUAACGAUAAAGCGGGUGAAAAGCCCGCUCGCCGGAAGACCAAGGGUUCCUGUCCAACGUUAAUCGGGGCAGGGUGAGUCGACCCCUAAGGCGAGGCCGAAAGGCGUAGUCGAUGGGAAACAGGUUAAUAUUCCUGUACUUGGUGUUACUGCGAAGGGGGGACGGAGAAGGCUAUGUUGGCCGGGCGACGGUUGUCCCGGUUUAAGCGUGUAGGCUGGUUUUCCAGGCAAAUCCGGAAAACUAAGGCUGAGGCGUGAUGACGAGGCACUACGGUGCUGAAGCAACAAAUGCCCUGCUUCCAGGAAAAGCCUCUAAGCAUCAGGUAACAUCAAAUCGUACCCCAAACCGACACAGGUGGUCAGGUAGAGAAUACCAAGGCGCUUGAGAGAACUCGGGUGAAGGAACUAGGCAAAAUGGUGCCGUAACUUCGGGAGAAGGCACGCUGAUAUGUAGGUGAAGUCCCUCGCGGAUGGAGCUGAAAUCAGUCGAAGAUACCAGCUGGCUGCAACUGUUUAUUAAAAACACAGCACUGUGCAAACACGAAAGUGGACGUAUACGGUGUGACGCCUGCCCGGUGCCGGAAGGUUAAUUGAUGGGGUCAGCGCAAGCGAAGCUCUUGAUCGAAGCCCCGGUAAACGGCGGCCGUAACUAUAACGGUCCUAAGGUAGCGAAAUUCCUUGUCGGGUAAGUUCCGACCUGCACGAAUGGCGUAAUGAUGGCCAGGCUGUCUCCACCCGAGACUCAGUGAAAUUGAACUCGCUGUGAAGAUGCAGUGUACCCGCGGCAAGACGGAAAGACCCCGUGAACCUUUACUAUAGCUUGACACUGAACAUUGAGCCUUGAUGUGUAGGAUAGGUGGGAGGCUUUGAAGUGUGGACGCCAGUCUGCAUGGAGCCGACCUUGAAAUACCACCCUUUAAUGUUUGAUGUUCUAACGUUGACCCGUAAUCCGGGUUGCGGACAGUGUCUGGUGGGUAGUUUGACUGGGGCGGUCUCCUCCUAAAGAGUAACGGAGGAGCACGAAGGUUGGCUAAUCCUGGUCGGACAUCAGGAGGUUAGUGCAAUGGCAUAAGCCAGCUUGACUGCGAGCGUGACGGCGCGAGCAGGUGCGAAAGCAGGUCAUAGUGAUCCGGUGGUUCUGAAUGGAAGGGCCAUCGCUCAACGGAUAAAAGGUACUCCGGGGAUAACAGGCUGAUACCGCCCAAGAGUUCAUAUCGACGGCGGUGUUUGGCACCUCGAUGUCGGCUCAUCACAUCCUGGGGCUGAAGUAGGUCCCAAGGGUAUGGCUGUUCGCCAUUUAAAGUGGUACGCGAGCUGGGUUUAGAACGUCGUGAGACAGUUCGGUCCCUAUCUGCCGUGGGCGCUGGAGAACUGAGGGGGGCUGCUCCUAGUACGAGAGGACCGGAGUGGACGCAUCACUGGUGUUCGGGUUGUCAUGCCAAUGGCACUGCCCGGUAGCUAAAUGCGGAAGAGAUAAGUGCUGAAAGCAUCUAAGCACGAAACUUGCCCCGAGAUGAGUUCUCCCUGACUCCUUGAGAGUCCUGAAGGAACGUUGAAG
rnacentral:rRNA from 1 species